rnacentral:rRNA from 1 species
UACGUAGGGGGCAAGCGUUGUCCGGAUUUAUUGGGCGUAAAGAGCGUGUAGGCGGCCAGGUAGGUCUGCUGUGAAAACUCGAGGCUUAACCUCGAGCUGUCGGCGGAAACCAUCUGGCUAGAGUCCGGAAGAGGAGAAUGGAAUUCCCGGUGUAGCGGUGAAAUGCGCAGAUAUCGGGAAGAACACCGGUGGCGAAGGCGGCAUCCUGGACCGGCAUUGACGCUGAGGCGCGAAAGCCAGGGGAGCAAACGGG